GUUGCGAGAACCCUUACAUAUUCAAGGGCUGACACAGAGAAGCAGGUUGUACAAGCCUCUAUAUGAAGAUACUCAGUAGAAACAAGACGUGUUGCUGAACUCAAGUGCAAGAGGAAGGAUCCGCUCCUCAGAAGCUCAUACUUCACUAGGAGGUGACCCAUACAGAGCAACACUUUACUUUGAUUUGCCCUGCUCUGAUUCAAAAAGCCAGAAUCAGUGACGCCUUCAAUGUCUGGGGUCACUUGCAGAGCUAAGAGUAGCACAGGGAAUAGAAUUUGUCACCUUCAGUAUCAAUUGCAGUAUCUCUGGUGCAAGCACAGUUAUUGUUCUGCUUUCGAUUGCUGCUAUGGGCUUAUUGUUAUACUGGGGCCAUGGAGGCAGACACUUCACAGGGUGAUACAUAACACCUGCGACCUGCCAUGCUAUUAUAUAUACGAGAGUGAUGUCUUCACAAAAUGUUUUCCCUAGGGCAAUUUUAAAUCUACUUGAUUUUUGACUCUCAGAAACACUCAGUUUUGGCUGCUAGAUUUCUUUGGAGUGUUGCUGUGCAAUGGAGCAUGGCAGCCGAUGAAAAAUCUGACCUGCUUAAUGGAGGGCUACAGGUUGCACAUCAGAAAAGAGAAGAAGCUCUUUUUCUUGGAGCUAUUAGAAGCUUCUUCAAUGCUCUGGAAACUUAUAAAGACUAAUACUGCAGCUGCUGUAGGUAAAUUUCUUGACAGGGAAUGAGAAAGCUAGAAUGACAACUUUAAUAAAAAAUGUGGGACUUGGUUCUUACCUCUCUUGUUCUUGUAUACAUCAGGAUUAACUUAAAUUUUAAAAGAAAGAACUUGCUGCAUCAAAAGGCACAUGGCCAGCAGAUUGAAGGAGGUGAUUCUGCCCCUCUGCUCUGCUCUCAUGACACCCCACGUGGAGUGCUGCAUUUAUCACAAGAAAGACAUGGGCUUGUUGGAGCAAGUCCAGAGGAGGGC